AUGAAGCCACAGUUCCCUAUGGGUUGUACAGGAGGGGCAUUGCUAACACUCUUAGUCCCUGCUCUUACAAAGACUCAGGUCUUUAAGCACUUUGGGUGGAAUCCACAAAGAGUCUUAGGUGUUGCAAAGCUAAGAGUUAUAGGGCCUAACAUUUAGGUGCCUAGAAAAUCACAGGAACACUGCAAUCCACAAAACCCUAGGCUCCCUAUACAAUGAAUAGGAGCGAGAGGUGACUAAGAAUGUGAUCUACAAAAUCUAGCACACUAGCAGGCAGCCACCUGCAUUAAUACACGGGAGAUGCCAAACAGAGAUUUGGUCUGAGCACUCCCUCUCUGAGAUGGGGCAAAAGUCCAGGCUAUAGGAGACCCUAUCUUGGUUUAGCAAUCCAUGAACAAGCACCUACCACCGGGAGACAGUUUAGGCACCUGCAGCAUUUCUUGUCCACUGGUUUCCUAGACACCGUUAAGGAGCAGUGGGUGCUGUCCAAGGUUCUCUGCUUAGUAUCCCCUUCCAGAUCCCUGAUUUUGUUCCUGUGACCCUCACUCCUGACCAUUAUUUUUUCAUUGUCCCCUGUAAUUAUUUGAAUCCCAGGUUCAGUAGCUCCUCCCCUUAGGCUGGGAGAGGGUCAUUCAGACACAGGUGGGCUUGUGCCUGCCUGCCUGCCUCCUAGACUUCAAUAGGUAUAGCAUUUCUUGUGGAAAUGAGUUAGGCACCUGCCGUACUCCACACAAAACAGCCAGGCGUGAUGCCCAUUUUAUAACUUUUAGCCCAGUGGUUAGAGCAGUCGCCUAGCAUAUCAGAGACUCACAUUCAAUUACCCCUCUCUUAUCAACAGUUAUGAUUGUGAAAUCUAUACUUCUGUUGUUUUGCCUAUAUGGUCCCCACAUCUCUACUCUAUCUGUAUGGUCUCUGUCUGAUUCUUUAAUUGUUUCUGUCUGUUGCAUAACUAAUUUUGCAAGAUUUAAAGCAACAAAGGUGGUGGGGUAUGAUUGGUUAAAGAAUUGUUUUGUAAUGGGCUAGGAUUGGUGAAAAAUACUGUUUUGUUUAAAAUGAUUGAUUAAGGUAUAGCUAAGCAAGAUUCAAGUUUAACUAUAUAGACUGGGGUCCAAAAGGAAGUUCUUUGGAACCUAACUCCAGGACACAGCCCAAGAUCAGAGCUGCCAAACCUCAAUGCCCUGCCAACUAUAUCGUACAGAAGCUGGAACCCCAGAUGACCUGAUCGUGACUGGCCACCAGGAAAAGUUCAUCUGCCUUAUUGGGAGUGGACACAGCCCAAGAUCAGAGCUGCUAGACCUCAAAGUCCUGCCAACUAUAUUGUGCAGAAGCUGCAGUCUCCAGACAAUCUAAUCUUCACUGGCCACCAGUAAAAAUUCAUCUGCCUUAUUGGGAGUGAACUUCAGGAAAAGCUGCACCAGCUGAAGAGCAGCCCAGAAUACCAUGGAUGUACUGUUGCAACAAAGAUCAUGUUUUGUGUUAUUUGUGUUGUUUCUAGCAUUGUUGUCUAUUGUGUUUUUAAAAAUGGGGAAACUGUGUUAGGCAGAAAAAGAUUAAUGGACACUUUAACUGUAUUUACAGAAACAAAUGUUGCAGAAGGGCAGAGUCAAGGAAUGCCAGUCUGUUAACAGGGAAACAUCCACAGAUGGUGAAGGCAUGUUUAAAGGCAAAAUAUGCAUGGGACAGAAGGUUUAUCUGUUGGUGGGAAUGAAAGGAUAAACAUAAGAAUUUUAAGCACAGAGUGAAAUUACGAAAGGAAAGAAAGGGCAUAUGAAAACAUUGGUUGCUGUGGGGGGGCGGGAAAUCAGUAAUAAUUGGCAAGUCUUAACCUCCAGCAUGUAAGCCCGCUGAAUACACCUGGAUGUUGUAUAAAAUUGGAUGUAAGCAUAGGCACCCCUUGACCCCCCCUCCCCCCCCCUCCCGAGUGUGCCGUAUCCCCACUUCCCCACCUACCUCCCAGUGUUGCCCGCCCAGCCGCCGCCAAACAGCUAUUUGGCAGCGUUAGCACGCUCCAGGAGUGGGGGAAGGAGCGAGAACAUGGCGCGCUCAGGGGAAGAUGCGGGGAAGAGGCCGGGCCAGGACAGGGAUUUGGGGG